UGUAGGGAAAGACAUCAGUUAUUGUUGCUAUAUAGUGUGUAUUGGCUGUAUUGUCCUGGGUGACCCUAUAUGCUAUAGUGAUGGGUUCCAGGUUCCAUGGUAAAUAAUCAGGCUUUUCCUUACAUUGACAAGGUUACCCCCAACUAUUACCUAUUAUAUCCUUCAAUAUUGUUUAAGAAAAAAAUAUGAACUAUACUAUUACAAUCUGGUAAAA